rnacentral:rRNA from 1 species
CCUACGGGAGGCAGCAGUGGGGAAUUUUUCGCAAUGGGCGCAAGCCUGACGAAGCAACGCCGCGUGGAGGAUGAAGGUCUUCGGAUUGUAAACUCCUGUCGACCGGGACGAAUGCACUCGACCUAAUACGUCGGAAUGUUGACGGUACCGGUGGAGGAAGCCACGGCUAACUCUGUGCCAGCAGCCGCGGUAAUACAGAGGGUGCAAGCGUUGUUCGGAAUUAUUGGGCGUAAAGCGCGUGUAGGCGGUUAUGCAAGUCAGAUGUGAAAUCCUUCCGCUUAACGGGAGAAGUGCAUUUGAAACUGCAUGACUGGAGUACGGGAGAGGAGAGUGGAAUUCCCGGUGUAGAGGUGAAAUUCGUAGAUAUCGGGAGGAACACCAGUGGCGAAGGCGGCUCUCUGGCCUGAUACUGACGCUGAGACGCGAAAGCGUGGGGAGCAAACAGGAUUAGAUACCCUGGUAGUCCACGCCGUAAACGAUGGGCACUAGGUGUAGGAGGUAUUGACCCCUUCUGUGCCGAAGCUAACGCAUUAAGUGCCCCGCCUGGGGAGUACGGCCGCAAGGUUAAAACUCAAAGGAAUUGAC